ACGGAGACAUGGCAUGAAGCCAGAGAGUGAGAGACAUUAACUCAUUAGACUGGAACUUGAACUGAUUCUAUUGAACUGAUUCCAUCUCAUUUU
rfam:Callithrix jacchus chromosome 4, whole genome shotgun sequence